rnacentral:pre_miRNA from 1 species
GACAAAGGGCUAAAGUACAAGAGAGUGGUAACAGCUGCUGUACUUUAGCCCUCCAACCA